UACGUAGGGUGCGAGCGUUGUCCGGAUUCAUUGGGCGUAAAGAGCUCGUAGGCGGCCACUCAAGUCGAAUGUGAAACCUCGAGGCUUAACCUCGAGCCUGCAUUCGAUACUGGGCGGCUAGAGUCUGGUAGGGGGAUCUGGAAUUCCUGGUGUAGCGGUGGAAUGCGCAGAUAUCAGGAGGAACACCGGUGGCGAAGGCAGGUCUCUGGGCCACUACUGACGCUGAGAAGCGAAAGCAUGGGGAGCGAACAGG
rnacentral:rRNA from 1 species